AUCAUUGUAAAUGCUGUCGUCUUUAAAAUCGGAUUUAAAUUUGGGGUCGGUACUUUUUCGUUUGAUUCUGGAACUCUGCUGAAUGCAAGGUUGAUCUUGGCUGGCUUGAAGAAUUUGAUAGAAGGUAUUCUUCUGGACCUCCUUAGCAUUACUUCUGGAUGCACAUUGUCUUCUCUUUUGGAUCACGCAGGUGGCAGUUCCGGCUAAAGGAACUUCCGGUGGCGAUGUGAAUGCUUUUCCAAUCGGGACAUUCCGUUUCCGUUGGCAAGUCGGCCAAGCAAGCGUACUUUGAUCAAAUUUUUGAAUACUGUACAAAACAUUCGAAAUCGAGUUGGGUAGGUAUUUGGCAUUUGGAUUUAAAGCAAUUGGAUAAUGUAGCCUCUCCAUAAACGAGCAAUUUGGAUUUUAAAAUACUCGGGAACUGAAAUUUUGAUUCAGUUUUAUUACGACAUUGAACACAAAAUAAAUUUCAAUUGCCUUUAAAGAACAAGGAAGGACUUGAAAUGAGAAUCUUUAAGUGCUAGUAUGUUGGAUAAUAAAUUAACU
ensembl:ncRNA asRNA:CR43876 antisense RNA:CR43876